rnacentral:rRNA from 1 species
UACGGAGGGUGCAAGCGUUGCUCGGAAUCACUGGGCGUAAAGCGCACGUAGGCGGAUUGUUAAGUCAGGGGUGAAAUCCUGGAGCUCAACUCCAGAACUGCCUUUGAUACUGGCGAUCUCGAGUCCGGGAGAGGUGAGUGGAACUGCGAGUGUAGAGGUGAAAUUCGUAGAUAUUCGCAAGAACACCAGGGCGAAGGCGGCUCACUGGCCCGGUACUGACGCUGAGGUGCGAAAGCGUGGGGAGCAAACAGG